rnacentral:lncRNA from 1 species
CUCUGAAUUCAGUAGACUGGUCAGUAUCUUGCUUAGUUCCUAGUUCACUGAGUGCUUCCAAUGUCCUUGCUUUAAUUCUGGUGCUAAUGGAUGUUUAUUUCUCUUUCUGUUCUCAGAGCUUAACAAAAGAUCUGGGAGGCAACUCGAAGUGCUCUGACUUCACAGAAGAAAUCUGUCGUAGAGUAAAAGACUUAGAUUAGCACUUCUGCUGGGGAUUUGCUGCAGUCCGUCCGUCACUCCAGGGGGAUGCCCUGUAAUCCUCCUUGAGAGCGCCCACCAUUGGUUUGCUUGCUUCGUGACAGAGCACAUUUCAAAUCUGGCCUUUUCCUAACAAAACCCUUGCAAUGGAUGCACACAAUGGCCCUAGGCCUUUGUGCAAAGGAUUUUCCCAAGUGCUUGUAUUUAUUGUCUGUCUGGUAAACCUGUUUUGUAAACUAUAAGUGAACUGUAUCAUUUAUCAUUGUUAACCCAUUUUACACCUCAGGCAAAAUAAUUUUUCCUCAACUGUAAAUAUUCUGAUACAGAAUUAAGAGAAGAUAUUUAACUUUUUAACAAAAGCCCUGGAUUUUUGGUUUAUGCAAAACAGCUGGGAGUAAAACAGGGUUUCAACAAUCGCACAAGAUAAUGUUAUUCUAAAAAUAGUGGGCACAAAAGAAAUUUACUGGGAAAGUUCACAGCAAAAAUGAUAUAUUUCUUAAAAAUAUGGAAGUAAAGAUAUUUGUCCUAUACAUGAAUUACUACUAAUAAAAAUGUAAGCUCCAAGAAACCCAUAACAACGGAAGUAAUUUUAUUAAUAUAUAGAUAAUCCUUGUCAAAGCCCCAGAUGCUCUGUGUAUUUGAUUAUUUUGUUACUUGAGAUUUACUAUUUUGGGGGGAAGAGCUCUCAGACAGGGAGAUCACUCCUCUUCACUAGACUAAUCAUCAGCAGUUGUCAGUCAGAGGAGCCAGCCACUGCAGAUUCCCUCCCACAUGACCACACUCCAGCCAGGGCUGCAGGUGACCCUGGAAAGGCCUGGCUGCCCCUUCACUUCCUAAAGCAAGCGUCACUACCCUAUGCCUCAGUAGUACCCGUUAAAGACUUAAUUGCAGAGGUGGGGUUUACUCAAUCCAAACUGACACAAAUCAGGCCAAGCUGGGGCCUGUGUAGCCAGCUUCUGACCAUCAGUUUCUGCCCCUCCCUCUCCCACCCCUGUCCCUUCCCACAGCCUCUGCACCACAGCAUGAAAAUACCCUUCGGCCCAUACCAAAGCCAAGCUGUUUUCCCUUAGCCCUUGUACUAGUUUGCAAACCCAUGGCUUUGCAUAAUGUACCCUGGCCACAGGGGAUUUCUUAACAACAGAUACCCAUGUCUGGGUCAUUUUUUAAAGCUUUUAUUUGGACUCACAGUCGUCUCUGUAUUUUACUUUAAAACCGCUGCUUUCCCUGUCUUACUGGAUUGUUCUGGUUACCAGUGGCUUUGGGUCCACAGUAAUAAAGAACUUAAGAACUGUCUGA